GUUGGUGCCAGCAGCCGCGGUAAUUCCAGCUCCAAUAGCGUAUAUUAAAGUUGUUGCAGUUUAAAAAGCUCCGUAAGUUGAAUUCUCGGAAUCUGUCCGUCGGUCGGGCUUCACUGUCCGCACUGGCGUGAUGGGUUUCUACCUUCUGAAUAACCGGCAUGUCAUUAAUUUGGUGCGCCGGGGAAGCAGAACUAUUACCUUGAAAAAAUUAGAGG
rnacentral:rRNA from 1 species